UAAACGAAUUGCCCUUCACGGAUCCAGAGUUUGAUUAUGGCUCAGGACGAACGCUGGCGGCGUGCUUAACACAUGCAAGUCGUACGAGGCAGAUUUUCAUCACUGAGCUUUAAAGAGCGGACUGAUGAGAGGCGUCGUGAAUGCGAAGCAUUCACCACACUUUUAUAAAGUGCUUAACUUUAAGGCUGAGUGAUGAAAAGAUGCCGAGUGGCAAACGGGUGAGUAACGCGUAGACAACCUGCCGUAAAGAUGGGGACAACAGUUCGAAAGGACUGCUAAUACCGAAUGUUGUAGAGUUUCCGCAUGGGAAUCCUACUAAAGGUGGCCUCUACUUGUAAGCUAUCGCUUUACGAUGGGUCUGCGUCUGAUUAGCUAGUUGGUGGGGUAACGGCCUACCAAGGCGACGAUCAGUAGCCGGUCUGAGAGGAUGAACGGCCACAUUGGAACUGAGACACGGUCCAGACUCCUACGGGAGGCAGCAGUGGGGAAUCUUCCGCAAUGGGCGCAAGCCUGACGGAGCAACGCCGCGUGAGUGAAGAAGGGUUUCGACUCGUAAAGCUCUGUUGUCGGGGACGAAUGUGGAGAUGGUGAAUAACCAUUUCCAAUGACGGUACCUGACGAGGAAGCCACGGCUAACUACGUGCCAGCAGCCGCGGUAAUACGUAGGUGGCGAGCGUUGUCCGGAAUUAUUGGGCGUAAAGGGAGCGCAGGCGGGAAGGUAAGUCUAUCUUAAAAGUGCGGGGCUCAACCCCGUGAGGGGAUGGAAACUAUCUUUCUUGAGUGCAGGAGAGGAAAGCGGAAUUCCUAGUGUAGCGGUGAAAUGCGUAGAUAUUAGGAGGAACACCAGUGGCGAAGGCGGCUUUCUGGACUGUAACUGACGCUGAGGCUCGAAAGCGUGGGGAGCGAACAGGAUUAGAUACCCUGGUAGUCCACGCCGUAAACGAUGAAUGCUAGGUGUAGGAGGUAUCGACCCCUCCUGUGCCGGAGUUAACGCAAUAAGCAUUCCGCCUGGGGAGUACGGCCGCAAGGCUGAAACUCAAAGGAAUUGACGGGGGCCCGCACAAGCGGUGGAGUAUGUGGUUUAAUUCGACGCAACGCGAAGAACCUUACCAGGGCUUGACAUUGAGUGAAAGGACUAGAGAUAGUUCCCUCUCUUCGGAGACACGAAAACAGGUGGUGCAUGGCUGUCGUCAGCUCGUGUCGUGAGAUGUUGGGUUAAGUCCCGCAACGAGCGCAACCCCUAUCCUUUGUUGCCAGCACGCAAUGGUGGGAACUCAAAGGAGACUGCCGCGGACAACGCGGAGGAAGGCGGGGAUGACGUCAAGUCAUCAUGCCCCUUAUGUCCUGGGCUACACACGUACUACAAUGGGAUGGACAGAGAGCAGCGAAGCCGCGAGGCCAAGCGAACCCCAUAAACCAUCUCCCAGUUCGGAUUGCAGGCUGCAACCCGCCUGCAUGAAGUUGGAAUCGCUAGUAAUCGCAGGUCAGCAUACUGCGGUGAAUACGUUCCCGGGCCUUGUACACACCGCCCGUCACACCACGGAAGUCAUUCACACCCGAAGCCGGCAGGCUAACCGCAAGGAGGCAGCCGUCUAAGGUGGGGGCGAUGACUGGGGUGAAGUCGUAACAAGGUAGCCGUAAGCUUCACAAGGGCAAUUCGCGGC
rnacentral:rRNA from 1 species